GACGAACCGUGCGAACGUUGUUCGGAAUCACUGGGCUUAAAGGGCGCGUAGGCCGGUCUGCAAGUCUGCGGUGAAAGCCCCCAGCUUAACUGGGGAAGUGCCGUGGAUACUGCGGGUCUCGAGGAGGGUAGGGGCAUCUGGAACAUUGGGUGGAGCGGUGAAAUGCGUUGAUAUCCAAUGGAACUCCGGUGGCGAAGGCGAGGUGCUGGACCCUUUCUGACGCUGAGGCGCGAAAGCCAGGGGAGCAAACGGG
rnacentral:rRNA from 1 species